rnacentral:rRNA from 1 species
UACAGAGACUGCAAGCGUUAUUCGGAUUCACUGGGCGUAAAGGGUGCGCAGGCGGUCGGGUGUGUCAGAUGUGAAAUCCCGAGGCUCAACCUCGGAACUGCGUCUGAAACUACUCGACUAGAGUACUGGAGAGGGUAACGGAAUUCACGGUGUAGCAGUGAAAUGCGUAGAUAUCGUGAGGAACACCAGAGGCGAAGGCGGCAUCCUGGUCUGUGACUGACGCUGAGGCGCGAAAGCUAGGGGAGCAAACGGG